UACGUAGGUGGCAAGCGUUGUCCGGAAUUAUUGGGCGUAAAGCGCGCGCAGGCGGUCGAUCAAGUCGCGUGUGAAAGCCCCCGGCUCAACUGGGGAGGGUCACGCGAUACUGAUCGACUCGAAGGCAGGAGAGGGUAGUGGAAUUCCCGGUGUAGUGGUGAAAUGCGUAGAUAUCGGGCGGAACACCAGCGGCGAAGGCGGCAUCCUGGCCCUGACCUGACGCUGAGGCGCGAGAGCGUGGGGAGCGAACAGG
rnacentral:rRNA from 1 species